rnacentral:lncRNA from 1 species
GUGCUUUAUUCCUUCUUUACUAUGUUGAGUUUUCAAAACCGUUAAUUCCUUUGCUUUCUGCCAGAAGAUGAUAUGUUCCUCCAGGCAGUUGAGAGAAUAAUCUAAAAGAGAAAGCAUCUGGGAAUACAAGAACACUUACUACUUUUAGUUACUGGUAUUUAAAAUCUUCAAUUCCCAGAA